GGCAAGAUGCUGGCAAGCU
rnacentral:miRNA from 1 species